rnacentral:tRNA from 1 species
GGAGAGGUGCCAGAGUGGUUGAACGGGGCGCUCUCGAAAAGCGCUUUCCGCUGAUGAAGCGGAACGUGGGUUCGAAUCCCCCCCUCUCCG